rnacentral:rRNA from 1 species
UACGUAGGGUGCGAGCGUUAAUCGGAAUUACUGGGCGUAAAGCGUGCGCAGGCGGCGCGUUAAGACAGGUGUGAAAGCCCCGAGCUUAACUUGGGAAUUGCGCUUGUGACUGGCGUGCUGGAGUGUGGCAGAGGGAGGUGGAAUUCCACGUGUAGCAGUGAAAUGCGUAGAGAUGUGGAGGAACACCGAUGGCGAAGGCAGCCUCCUGGGCCAGCACUGACGCUCGAUGCACGAAAGCGUGGGAGCAAACGGG